rnacentral:snRNA from 1 species
AUCUUUGCACAAUGGCAGUAUCGUAGCCAAUGAGGUUUAUCCGAGAUGCGAUUAUUGCUAAUUGAAAACUUUUCCCAAUACCGCACCAUGAUGACAUGCAAUACAGUCGGCAUUGGCAAUUUUUGACAGUCUCUAGGGAGA